rnacentral:misc_RNA from 1 species
GAUGGAACGUAGCAAAAUGCGAUAAGUAAUGUGAAUUGCAGAAUUCAGUGAAUCAUCGAAUCUUUGAACGCACAUUGCGCCCUCUGGUAUUCCGGGGGGCAUGCCUGUUCGAGCGUCAUUAUAACCACUCAAGCUCUCGCUUGGUAUUGGGGCUCGCGGUUCCGCGGCCCCUAAAAUCAGUGGCGGUGCCUGUCGGCUCUACGCGUAGUAAUACUCCUCGCGAUUGAGUUCCGGUAGGUCUACUUGCCAGCAACCCCCAAUUUUUACAGGUUGACCUCGGAUCAGGUAGGGAUACCCGCUGAACUUAAGCAUAUCAAUAAGCGGAGGA